GACGAGGGAUCCUAGCGUUGUUCGGAAUCAUUGGGCGUAAAGCGGGUGUAGGCGGGCUUAUAAGUCAGGUGUGAAAUCCCAGGGCUCAACCCUGGAAGUGCAUUUGAUACUGUAAGUCUUGAAUGUGGUAGAGGUUACUAGAAUUCCUGGUGUAGUGGUGAAAUACGUAGAUAUCAGGAGGAAUACCAGAGGCGAAGGCGGGUAACUGGGCCAACAUUGACGCUGAGAUCCGAAAGUGUGGGGAUCAAACAGG
rnacentral:rRNA from 1 species